UUGGAUGGUUUCAGGCUUCUUC
rnacentral:siRNA from 1 species